rnacentral:sRNA from 1 species
CUAGACCCUCUCCUCUCAGCAACACACAUACACCACCACCAAACUUCACAGAUUGAGCUUUGCAACCACCACCAUCGUGUUCCUCUCGUUCCCACGAACACAUCCCUAUCAACCGAUCACAAAAUGGACGAGUUUUGAGUGUUCAACUUGGAAGCUCUGACUCAGAGGUGAUUUUCUCCACGAUUUUCCAUUCGAGUUGCACAUUUUUAGAAGGUUUGGAAGCAUCUAGGCGACUCCCCGAGGCCACUAGCCUAGUUUUGAAGUGGAGCCGACGAGGAAAACCACGGGUUUCAGACAACAAAAGUAAGGCCGAGAGUCUAUAGUCCAUUUUGAUCCAUUUCCCAUCCAUUUUUGGACUUUUGGAAGAAUCCAGCCAAAUUCUUCAGUUUCCAACGAACCAGACCGUGGUAGCGGCGGCGGCGGCGGACGGCAGUGAUAGCGGCGGAGGUCCACCGAAGAAGAAGACAGAAUAUUCCAUCAAACUUAACGGAAUAUUCUGACGCCGUUAAAGGUGAGACUUAUCUCGAGGAUGUACGAGGACAAGUGAGGCUAGGAGGCUAUGAUCCAUCGACGUAUCAAUUAGCUGACUUUGGAAGCAUGUUACGAA